rnacentral:rRNA from 1 species
UCAGGCUCAGGACGAACGCUGGCGGCGUGCUUAACACAUGCAAGUCGAACGGAAAGGCCCUUCGGGGUACUCGAGUGGCGAACGGGUGAGUAACACGUGGGUGAUCUGCCCUGCACUUUGGGAUAAGCCUGGGAAACUGGGUCUAAUACCGAAUAUGACCGCGCACUUCCUGGUGUGUGGUGGAAAGCUUUUGCGGUGUGGGAUGGGCCCGCGGCCUAUCAGCUUGUUGGUGGGGUAAUGGCCUACCAAGGCGACGACGGGUAGCCGGCCUGAGAGGGUGACCGGCCACACUGGGACUGAGAUACGGCCCAGACUCCUACGGGAGGCAGCAGUGGGGAAUAUUGCACAAUGGGCGCAAGCCUGAUGCAGCGACGCCGCGUGAGGGAUGACGGCCUUCGGGUUGUAAACCUCUUUCAAUAGGGACGAAGCGCAAGUGACGGUACCUAUAGAAGAAGGACCGGCCAACUACGUGCCAGCAGCCGCGGUAAUACGUAGGGUCCGAGCGUUGUCCGGAAUUACUGGGCGUAAAGAGCUCGUAGGUGGUUUGUCGCGUUGUUCGUGAAAACUCACAGCUUAACUGUGGGCGUGCGGGCGAUACGGGCAGACUAGAGUACUGCAGGGGAGACUGGAAUUCCUGGUGUAGCGGUGGAAUGCGCAGAUAUCAGGAGGAACACCGGUGGCGAAGGCGGGUCUCUGGGCAGUAACUGACGCUGAGGAGCGAAAGCGUGGGGAGCGAACAGGAUUAGAUACCCUGGUAGUCCACGCCGUAAACGGUGGGUACUAGGUGUGGGUUUCCUUCCUUGGGAUCCGUGCCGUAGCUAACGCAUUAAGUACCCCGCCU